GUUGGUUAUUUUGUUUUACUGUAAUAAAUGUAUUAUUGUAUAUAUAUAUAUAUAUGAAUUGCCAAAGUGGCAUAUAUAUUAAAAGAUGGUGUGAGUAUUGUAUGUGUGAAUUUUAAUUGUCAUUUUAGAUAUUAGGUAUACUUAAUGUGCAUCAGGUCUGGUUUGUAAAAGUUUUGUAUUCCCGCGUCUUGUGCUUACAUUUACGUAAUGUUCAGUUUCCCGCGUCUUGUACAUGUACCUUGUGUUGCCCGUGUAUGUCAUGUAUAUGUUGUCACGUGACUGAGUGUACCCGACCUGUAGGACCGCGCCACCCGUGGACUAUCACAUCAGCGACACACGGGUGAGGACGUAUAUACAUGCACGGCUUGACUGUUGACUAUCUGCCAGAUUAUUGUUAAAGGAUAAAGUAAGUUUAAAGUAUAAAUUUCUAAUUAUAAUAGAGAAGUUGUAUAACUGUAUUUCUAUUUUCUAUUGUUGAAUAUAAAUAUAUAUCUAGUGGGGUCCUCCGUUGUGCUUUUUACAACGAGAGGCCGUAUUCUAUCUUUAAAAUAAAGUAAGUUCUGGUAAUUUUAAAUGGUUUUAUUUAUUAUAUUUAGUAAAAUGGAUAGCGUUAACUUGAAGCGGGUUAUUUAUUUUUGGCUUUCUUUUCCUUAACAGAACGCUUGUGUGCUCGUAAUUUAUACUUUGUCUACGAGUCCCGUAAUAUUAUCGGGAGAGGAACCCCUGUCCAAGGGAUAGGGGUUUUUACCUGGAGAAUAAAGUGUAAACCAAA